CUAGCGAUUCCGGCUUCAUGCAGGCGAGUUGCAGCCUGCAAUCCGGACUGAGAAUGGCUUUAGGAGAUUUGCUUGACCUCGCGGUUUAGCGACUCGCUGUACCAUCCAUUGUAGCACGUGUGUAGCCCAGCUCAUAAGGGGCAUGCUGAUUUGACGUCAUCCCCACCUUCCUCCGGUUUGUCACCGACAAGUCUCGCCGAAGUGCCCAACUAAAUGCUGGCAACUGACAACAAAGGUUGCGCUCGUUACGGGACUUAACCCAACAUCUCACGACACAAGCUGAAAACAACCAUGCACCACCUGUCAUUCUGUCCCCGAAGGGAACACUCUAUCUCUAGAGCUUUCAGAAGAUGUCAAGAGCUGGUAAGGUUCUUCGCGUUGCUUCGAAUUAAACCACAUGCUCCACCGCUUGUGCGGGUCCCCGUCAAUUCCUUUGAGUUUAAGCCUUGCGGCCGUACUCCCCAGGCGGAGUGCUUAAUGCGUUAACGCCGGCACCGAGGGGUGGAAGCCCCCC
rnacentral:rRNA from 1 species